rnacentral:lncRNA from 1 species
UCAAAGUGCUGGGAUUACAGGCGUGAGCCACUGCGCCCGGCCGGCUAUUAUUAUUCUUAAGUGUGGCAUCUCAGGAUCUGAACUCCCACCUCUGAGAUGCAUCAUCCCUUUGUCACAUGGAAGGAAAGCCUGUAGUGUUUGCUGCCUCCUGUUUCCUGCCCCUUUGUUCGCAAGUACACUCGUCUUUUUUUGUUUGUUUCAACAGUAGAAAGAAAUGCAUGUCCUUUUGGAACUUAAGACGAAAGAUAAUUGUGAUUGGAGUUUUCCCACACCAUAAGGUGUGCCUUGUCUCCUGCAGGGCGGGUCAUCUGUGGGCUGUCCUCCACUUCCUCUGGGUGCUGAGUGAGCAACAGUGAGCAACAGCAGCUCUGGCUCAGAAUUGCUUCAGCUGUUUGGGCUCUUUUUUGGUUUCCCGUGAAUUUUAGAAGUUUUUCCUAGUUCUGUGAAAAAUGACAUUAGUAGCUUGAUAAGAAUAGCGCUGAAUCUAUAGAUUACUUUGGGCAGUAUGACCAUUUUAAUGAUGUUGGUUCUUCUAAUCUAUGGGCAUGGAGUAUUUUUCCACUUGUUUGUAUCAUCGAUAAUUUAUUUCAACAGUGUUCUGAAGUUCUACUUGUAGAGAUCUUUCACCUCCGUGGUUAAAUUCCAAGCAUCUCCAAGCCUCUACCCCAAGUUAGCUCCAGGGAUUGGGAGCAACAAAGGGCUCUCCCUCAGCCUUGGAUCCCCAGUGGAAAGAAGAGUCAUAGAGGGAGGCUCUCUGCCUCUUUCACAUACUGGGGCUUCACUCACCUUAUCCGCCUGAUGCCAGCAUGGGGGCUUUUUGCCUGAAUUCUCCUUCCUGGGAUCUGAGUGUUCCCAGCUGAACAAAAAUCUGGUUAUAUAAUCCAGGGCAAGUGAUUUAAACAGCCUCAUGUGCCUCAUUGGUACUAACAAUGCUUCACAGGGAUGAAAUAAGAAAUUCUCUUCUGCUCUUUCCAUGGUCUCCCUCUGAUGCCGAGCCGAAGCUGGACUGUACUGCUGCCAUCUCGGCUCACUGCAACCUCCCUGCCUGAUUCUCCUGCCUCAGCCUGCCGAGUGCCUGCGAUUGCAGGCGCGCGCCGCCACGCCUGACUGGUUUUCGUAUCUUUUUGGUGGAGAUGGAGUUUCACGCUGUGUUGGCCGGGCUGGUCUCCAGCUCCUAACCGCAAGUGAUCCGCCAGCCU